GAUGAACGCUAGCGGCAGGUUUAAUACAUGCAAGUCGAGGGGCAGCGCAGUGUAGCAAUACAUGGGCGGCGACCGGCAAACGGGUGCAGAACACGUACGCAACCUACCCAUAACUGAUGAAUAGCCCUCCGAAAGGAGGAUUAAUACAUCGUAACAUAAUGAAGUGGCAUCACUUUAUUAUUAUAGCUCCGGCGGUUUUGGUUGGGCGUGCGCCUGAUUAGGUAGUUGGCGGGGUAACGGCCCACCAAGCCUGCGAUCAGUAACUGGUGUGAGAGCACGACCAGUCACACGGGCACUGAGACACGGGCCCGACUCCUACGGGAGGCAGCAGUAAGGAAUAUUGGUCAAUGGACGCAAGUCUGAACCAGCCAUGCCGCGUGAAGGAUGAAGGUCCUCUGGAUUGUAAACUUCUUUUAUAUGGGACGAAACCUCUUAUUCUUAAGAGACUGACGGUACCAUAGGAAUAAGCACCGGUUAACUCCGUGCCAGCCGCCGCGGUAAUAC
rnacentral:rRNA from 1 species